GAUGAAGAACGUAGCGAAAUGCGAUACGUAAUGUGAAUUGCAGAUCUCUCAGUGAAUCAUCGAAUCUUUGAACGCACAUUGCGCCCGCCAGUAUUCUGGCGGGCAUGCCUGUUCGAGCGUCAUUACAACCCUCAGGCCCCCGGGCCUGGCGUUGGGGAUCGGCGGAGCCCCCCGUGGGCACACGCCGUCCCCCAAAUACAGUGGCGGUCCCGCCGCAGCUUCCAUCGCGUAGUAGCUAACACCUCGCGACUGGAGAGCGGCGCGGCCACGCCGUAAAACACCCAACUCUUCUGAAGUUGACCUCGAAUCAGGUAGGAAUACCCGCUGAACUUAAGCAUAUCAAUAAGCGGAGGA
rnacentral:misc_RNA from 1 species